rnacentral:rRNA from 1 species
AUUGAACGCUGGCGGCAGGCCUAACACAUGCAAGUCGAACGAGUGGCGGACGGGUGAGUAAUGUCUGGGAAACUGCCCGAUGGAGGGGGAUAACUACUGGAAACGGUAGCUAAUACCGCAUACCAUCGGCUUUGCCCAGAUGGGAUUAGCUAGUAGGUGGGGUAACGGCUCACCUAGGCGACGAUACCUAGCUGGUCUGAGAGGAUGACAAUCCACACUGGAACUGAGACACGGGCCAGACUCCUACGGGAGGCAGCAGUGGGGAAUAUUGCGCAAUGGGCGAAAGCCUGAUGAAGCCAUGCCGAGUGUAUGAAGAAGGCCUUAGGGUUGUAAAGUACUUUCAGCGAGGAGGCGUUACUCGCAGAAGAAGCACCGGUUAACUCAGUGCCAGCAGCCGCGGUAAUAC